CAGGACACCCUUCUAAUGAGUCCAAAGCUCACCUCUCACAAUGCAGCGAGAUGCUCUGUCCGCGGAGGACCCUGUCCGCCGGUGACCCAGGGCCCUUUCAGGCAGGUGCCUUCGGCUGCAUCGCGGGAGCGCCUGAGCUCCACACCUCCUUUCCUGGAAAGCUCCCGUGCGUUUCAAGUGCUUCCCACGCAAAAUCCUUCUACCAGGCGCCUUCCCCACCUGAGGGCAGCGAGCUCUGCCGCCUGAGUGCUUAGCAUAUUUACAGCCCUGCCAGUCCCGAGCAGCAAAAGCGCGUUAGACCUGGAACAUGAAAAGGCUCGAAAUCAUGAGAUUAAUAAAAACGAAAUAUCCAACAGAUGGAUAGCAAAUAAAAAGAAUAUGGAUUUGAUGAUUCAACGAGACCAAGAGCCAAGGGACUGGUGAGAAGUUGGUGAGAGAAGACCAUGCAGAUCUCAGACUGCAAGCUUUGGAGAGCAGGGAUGAUUUUACCGCGGCGCCCUGCGGCCCUGCUCCCAGCGCUCUGGGCCGGCAGAGACUUCCAAGUGUGGACACAGCUGAUCCAGGACAAGCUGCCCCGCUCCCACGGUGCAAAACAGCCAAGCGUACCGACCACUGCUUCUGUUUCCUAACGCCUAGGCCUGCACACCUCUGUCCGUCCAGGGUCACACUUCGUCCCGCACCGACAGACGGAGCUAGCCAGCAAAAGGCGGUAGCGCAGAGUUGGCUUUGGAUACAAAGCCUGCCUUUGAAACCCCGGAGUAGCCUUUUGCCCUAUUGAUCCCUCUGCAGAUUCGCAUUCAAUACAGCAGCAGAGGCUGUGCAGGAGCAAAUAUUAGCCAGGCCCCGGCUCUGAGGACUUCUCCCCCCUCCCUGCCAAAAGCGACCGCCGCUUUAAUGAGGAGGCACUUUGCCUGGCUGCAUCCAGAGCACAAAGGUUUGGAAACCAUAAAGGCUCUGUCUCUAAGGUGUCACCAGUAGUAAGGCCAUAUAAGGCUUUGGAGGGUGGCUAAUUGGACCUGGGACACGAAAAAUGUUCCAAAAUAUAAAGAAUAAGGUGCCCAAGGUAAGUUUUUGCAAACCAACUGGAUCUUGCUUUUGGCCCGUGCACGCUAGGAUACAAGUGGUGGGUGAACAGCUUUCCAGAGCAGGUUCCUGGUACAUCUGCAAACACUGGUUUCCUGCCGCUGUUUGUCGUCGCUCCGUCUCGUUCUCGAACGCAGACUCCAUCGCACCCCUUCUCCCCGGCCAGUCCCCUCGCUGGCCCAGCUCCCCGCAGGCACCUAAAAUCCUGCAACUUCCCAGCUUCUUGCGGUCGGAGGUUUUGGGGAGGGCAGAGUUAUCUCCUGGGUGCAAAAGCCGCAGCCUUUACAUUAGCAGUAUGCUGCUGAUCCCAUGCAACCCCUCUCCAGCCUUAUCUGUAUGCCUGGCAGCUUCAGGAAUGCAGACAAAGGUGACCUAUUGGGGCAGCAACGGUCUUGCCUGAAGAUUCAGGACAGCUUUCUCUCCAGGGCAAGUCAAUGAGUAACUUGCCGCUGUUAGCAGAAUUCAAGGAGCCGGGCAAACAAUUUGACCUUGUUCAUGCAGCAGUGAGCUCUGUGGCUCUCAGCCUGCAGGAAGAGCAAACAAGCUGGAAGCUAAAGGGGAUGGGGCCGGGCAGGGACGACGGGAUGGAGGGUAUAGCGUGGAAUCAAAUGAAAAUAAAGCAGAGCCUGUCACUAGCUGCAGCAUGACCCUGGUGGGAAAAAAAAAGGAUUGGAGUCUGUUGAAAUUCCUGUCCAUACUGCCACUAUUCAGCUUUCUCAUGGGCUCUGCAGGAGAUGUCUUCAUUUCUUUGCAGGGCUCCUCGCAGUUUGGCUCUUGGCCAUCUUGCAGCUUAACAGUAUUGCCAGUAUUCUUACUGCAGCUCUCGUGAUGCUUUCCCCUAUGCCCCCAGCCCCUGGACUCCUGGGAUCGUGCAACACAAGGACGGCAUACCUAUGAAUUUCCCUGGCCUAGGCCCCGCAGCCUUGCAUCCGGCACCAAAAAAGCCCUCGCUGACAUGACAAGAGAAGCAAGGACCCCGUCAUCAAUCAAAAAGUUUUCUCUAUUGCAUCCUCUCGCGUGGGAUAGACCCUUUGUAGAGCUACCGCAGAGCUCUGAAGAUGCACAAAAUGAGACCGUCUUCCCAGAAAUGCCUGUGUUAUUUUUUGUUUAAAAGCUUGAUAGACGUGCUCAGCUCUAAAAGGAAUAUUUCAAGCACGCGUCCUAGUCAAUUCGCUAUCGCAGCAUCCCACACAUCUCUGGUGAUGCCUGGGCCCGCGUGGCAAUAUUAUUAUAUUACAACUUCCUUGAUCCCAGCAGUCACAUAUGGAAGUAAAGGACUAAUUGGUAGAGUUAUAAAAUCACUGAGAUUUGGAGAGGAUCUGCACAGCUGAGCAGUCUGUAUAACCCCUCUGUUAAAAGAGGGCUGGCUCACUGGGGAGUGCAUUAUGUAAUGCAUGCAAUACAUUAUGAUUAUUUUAGGGUUAUGUAUUUUUUUAUUAAUAAGUGUACUGUUUAGUGUCACAGUGAAAAAGUAUAGAUCCUAUGUAGUUUGUGUUUGGGAAUGGUUUAGAAAGCUUGUCCAAAGAAAAAGCUAUUUGCUUGAUAACCUAAUAAACACUUAUCACUCUCACCUUCGAAGGCACUCACGUCUUGUAGCAUUGGGAGCCAUGUGAGUACGUAGAUAGCUGAUAAUAGUGCGUUGAUGGUCAGUGAUAUCU